rnacentral:rRNA from 1 species
AUCGAACGCUGGCGGCGUGGAUAAGACAUGCAAGUCGAACGGGACAGACCGAGUAGCAAUAUUUGGAAUGUUCAGUGGCGAACGGGUGCGUAACACGUGGAUAACAUUCCGGAAAGCGGGGAAUAGCCCAGGGAAACUUGGAUUUAUACCGCAUGUGGCUGCAAGGCUAAAGACGGGGACCGCAAGGCCUGUCACUUUCCGAUUGGUCCGCGGCAUAUCAGCUAGUUGGCGGGGUAAUGGCCCACCAAGGCUACGACGGGUAGCUGGUCAUAGAGGACGACCAGCAACACUGGAACUGAGACACGGUCCGGACACCGACGGGUGGCAGCAGUCGAUAAGCGUUCACAAUGGGGCAACCCUGAUGGUGCGACGCCGCGUGGAGGAUAAGGUCUUCGGAUUGUAAACUCCUGUCAUGCGAGAACAAGGUACUCAGGCUAAUAACCUGAUUUUUUGAUGGUACCGCAAGAGGAAGAGACGGCUAACUCUGUGCCAGCCGCCGCCGUAACAC